rnacentral:rRNA from 1 species
AUUCCUACGGGAGGCAGCAGUGGGGAAUAUUGCACAAUGGGGAAACCCUGAUGCAGCCAUGCCGCGUGUGUGAAGAAGGCCUCGGUUGUAAGCACUUCAGUAGGAGGAAGGUAGUGUAGUUAACACCUGCAUAUUUGUACAUUACCUACAGAAGAAGCACCGGCUAACUCCGUGCCAGCAGCCGCGGUAAUACGGAGGGUGCGAGCGUUAAUCGGAAUUACUGGGCGUAAAGCGCAUGCAGGCGGCCUGUUAAGUCAGAUGUGAAAGCCCGGGGGCUUAACCUCGGAAUUGCAUUUGAAACUGGCAGGCUAGAGUCUUGUAGAGGGGGUAGGAAUUUCAGGUGUAGCGGUGAAAUGCGUAGAGAUCUGAAGGAUACCAGUGGCGAAGG